UACGGAGGGAGCUAGCGUUGUUCGGAAUUACUGGGCGUAAAGCGCACGUAGGCGGCUUUGUAAGUUAGAGGUGAAAGCCCGGGGCUCAACUCCGGAACUGCCUUUAAGACUGCAUCGCUUGAAUCCAGGAGAGGUGAGUGGAAUUCCGAGUGUAGAGGUGAAAUUCGUAGAUAUUCGCAAGAACACCAGUGGCGAAGGCGGCUUACUGGUCCGGUUCUGACGCUGAGGCGCGAAAAGCGUGGGGAGCAAACAGG
rnacentral:rRNA from 1 species